CCUACGGGCGGCAGCAGUGAGGAAUAUUGGUCAAUGGGCGGAAGCCUGAACCAGCCAAGCAGCGUGCAGGAUGACGGCUCUACGGGUUGUAAACUGCUUUUAUACGGGAAUAACGCCCCAUACGUGUAGGGCUUUGCAUGUACCGUACGAAUAAGGACCGGCUAAUUCCGUGCCAGCAGCCGCGGUAAUACGGAGGGUCCGGGCGUUAGCCGGAUUUAUUGGGUUUAAAGGGGGCGUAGGCCGCAUGACAAGCGUGCGGUGAAAUGUCCGGGCUCAACCCGGGCCUGGCAGCGCGAACUGGCGGGCUUGAGUCCGCGGAAGGCAGGCGGAAUUCGUCGUGUAGCGGUGAAAUGCUUAGAUAUGA
rnacentral:rRNA from 1 species